rnacentral:rRNA from 1 species
CGCCACAGUCAUAUCACCCUGCAGCCCAAGACUGGUUGCCCACUGAAGCUAAGCAGGGUUGAGCCUGGUCAGUACCUGGAUGGGAGACUUCUUGGGAAAACUAGGUUGCUGUUGGAA